AUGAACGCUAGCUACAGGCUUAACACAUGCAAGUCGAGGGGCAGCAUGGUCUUAGCUUGCUAAGACUGAUGGCGACCGGCGCACGGGUGAGUAACGCGUAUCCAACCUUCCGCACACUCGGGAAUAGCCUUUCGAAAGAAAGAUUAAUGCCCGAUGGUUUCCCGAAUCCGCAUGAGAACGGGAAUAAAGAUUCAUCGGUGUGCGAUGGGGAUGCGUCCCAUUAGCUUGUUGGCGGGGUAACGGCCCACCAAGGCUACGAUGGGUAGGGGUUCUGAGAGGAAGGUCCCCCACAUUGGAACUGAGACACGGUCCAAACUCCUACGGGAGGCAGCAGUGAGGAAUAUUGGUCAAUGGGCGAGAGCCUGAACCAGCCAAGUAGCGUGAGGGAUGACCGCCCUACGGGUUGUAAACCUCUUUUAUAAGGGAAUAAAAUGAAGUACGCGUACUUCUUUGCAUGUACCUUAUGAAUAAGCAUCGGCUAACUCCGUGCCAGCAGCCGCGGUAAUACGGAGGAUGCGAGCGUUAUCCGGAUUUAUUGGGUUUAAAGGGAGCGCAGACGGGACUUUAAGUCAGCUGUGAAAUUUUCCGGCUCAACCGGGAAACUGCAGUUGAUACUGGCGUCCUUGAGUACGGUCGAGGCAGGCGGAAUUCGUGGUGUAGCGGUGAAAUGCUUAGAUAUCACGAAGAACCCCGAUUGCGAAGGCAGCCUGCCAGACCGCAACUGACGUUCAUGCUCGAAAGUGCGGGUAUCAAACAGGAUUAGAUACCCUGGUAGUCCGCACGGUAAACGAUGAAUACUCGCUGUCGGCGAUACACAGUCGGCGGCCAAGCGAAAGCGUUAAGUAUUCCACCUGGGGAGUACGCCGGCAACGGUGAAACUCAAAGGAAUUGACGGGGGCCCGCACAAGCAGUGGAGUAUGUGGUUUAAUUCGAAGCAACGCGAAGAACCUUACCAGGUCUUGACAUACCAUUGACCGUUCUAGAGAUAGGAUUUUCCCUUCGGGGACAAUGGAUACAGGUGGUGCAUGGUUGUCGUCAGCUCGUGCCGUGAGGUGUCGGCUUAAGUGCCAUAACGAGCGCAACCCUUUUCGCCAGUUACCAUCGGGUAACGCCGGGGACUCUGGCGAGACUGCCAUCGUAAGAUGUGAGGAAGGUGGGGAUGACGUCAAAUCAGCACGGCCCUUACGUCCGGGGCUACACACGUGUUACAAUGGCCGGUACAGAAGGCAGCCACACAGCGAUGUGGAGCCAAUCCCCAAAGCCGGUCUCAGUUCGGAUUGGAGUCUGCAACCCGACUCCAUGAAGCUGGAUUCGCUAGUAAUCGCGCAUCAGCCACGGCGCGGUGAAUACGUUCCCGGGCCUUGUACACACCGCCCGUCAAGCCAUGAAAGCCGGGGGUACCUGAAGUGCGUAACCGCGAGGAGCGCCCUAGGGUAAAACUGGUAAUUGGGGCU
rnacentral:rRNA from 1 species